rnacentral:rRNA from 1 species
UACGUAGGCAGCAAGCGUUGUUCGGAAUUACUGGGCGUAAAGCGUGCGCAGGCGGUUGUGCAAGACCGAUGUGAAAUCCCCGGGCUUAACCUGGGAAUGGCAUUGGUGACUGCACGGCUAGAGUGUGUCAGAGGGGGGUAGAAUUCCACGUGUAGCAGUGAAAUGCGUAGAGAUGUGGAGGAAUACCGAUGGCGAAGGCAGCCCCCUGGGAUAACACUGACGCUCAUGCACGAAAGCGUGGGGAGCAAACAGG